GCCCUUAUAGCUCUCAGUGGUAGAGCGCGCCACUCGUAAUGGUGAGGUCGGUUGUUCAAUCCAGCCUGAGGGCA
rnacentral:tRNA from 1 species